CAUGUCUUUUUGAUUAUAGUUUAAAGUCUAAUCUGCACGAUGAGAGUUAAAUUGCCGCAGUAUCUUAACUGUGCGAAGGUAGCAUAGUAAAUAGUUCUUUAAUUGAGAACUGGAAUGAAUGAUUGGACAAGAAAGAAGCUGUCUUUAUUUAAGGUUUUUUUGAAUUUUAUUUUUAAGUUAAAAAGCUUAAAUUUUUUUAAAAGACGAGAAGACCCUAUAGAGUUUAAUAGUAAUUUUUAUUUGUUUGUUAGUAAUUUAUUUUAAAAUUUUAUUAUUUAGUUGGGGUGGCUUGAAGAUUAAUAUAAUUCUUUAAAUAAAAUAUUGGUGAUUUCUAUUUUAAUAAUCUAAAUGUUUAAAUUUAAAAUAAAUUACCUUAGGGAUAACAGCGUAAUUUUUCUUUAAAGCUCUUAUUGAAAGAAGAUUUUGCGACCUCGAUGUUGGAUUAAAUUGAAUUUUUGGUGCAGUAACUUAAUGAUUAGGUCUGUUCGACCUUUAAAAUU
rnacentral:rRNA from 1 species